rnacentral:rRNA from 1 species
AUUGAACGCUGGCGGCAGGCCUAACACAUGCAAGUCGAGCGGAGCGGCGGACGGGUGAGUAAUGCCUAGGAAUCUGCCUUGUAGUGGGGGAUAACGUCCGGAAACGGGAGCUAAUACCGCAUACUAUCAGAUGAGGCUAGGUCGGAUUAGCUAGUUGGUGGGGUAAAGGCCUACCAAGGCGACGAUCCGGAACUGGUCUGAGAGGAUGAUCAGUCACACUGGAACUGAGACACGGUCCAGCCUCCUACGGGAGGCAGCAGUGGGGAAUAUUGGACAAUGGGAGAAAGCCUGAUACAGCCAUGCCGCGUGGGUGAAGAAGGUCUUCGGAUUGUAAAGCACUUUAAGUUUGGAGGCGGUACCAACAGAAUAAGCACCGGCUAACUUCGUGCCAGCAGCCGCGGUAAUUC